UUCUUAAUCUUUGCGUAUAUGUUAUUAUCAGCAGUUGUGAUAUUAAAUGGAUUGAUUGGAAUCUUUGGAGGAGCAUUUGUAAGUGCAGUAGACGAUUCACCAUCAUCAAACUCUGAUCCUGACACACU
rnacentral:ribozyme from 1 species